AAGUCGUAACAAGGUUUCCGUAGGUGAACCUGCGGAAGGAUCAUUACCAUACCUUCACAACCAAAAGCCCUGCGCUUUCGAGAGAAUUGCAGGCAACAACCAUGAGCAAGCGCCGCGCGGUUCCGCGUGGCGUGAGGGAAAGAAUCAUGCUGAUAUGAGUGAAUCUUUCUAGCGCCGUUCCCCCAACGACACUCCGGUGUCGGCGGGGAGCUCUGAGAACGGACUCGGUGCUUUCACCGAACCCCUGUGCUUGAAAAGGAACAAAAAUACAGUACAACUGCAAACGGUGGAUCACUCGGCUC
rnacentral:misc_RNA from 1 species